rnacentral:rRNA from 1 species
UAGUUCAGUGGCGCACGGGUGCGUAACGCGUAUGCAACCUACCUUAAACUGGGGGAUAGCCUUCCGAAAGGGAGAUUAAUACCGCAUAAUACUAUUUGAGGGCAUCUGAGGAUAGUUAAAGAUUUAUUGGUUUAAGAUGGGCAUGCGUGCCAUUAGCUAGUUGGUAGGGUAACGGCCUACCAAGGCGACGAUGGCUAGGGGUUCUGAGAGGAUGAUCCCCCACACUGGCACUGAGAUACGGGCCAGACUCCUACGGGAGGCAGCAGUAGGGAAUAUUGGGCAAUGGGCGAAAGCCUGACCCAGCCAUGCCGCGUGCAGGAAGAAGGCCUUCUGGGUUGUAAACUGCUUUUAUCUGGGAAGAAAAAGCCCCUGCGGGGGAAACUGACGGUACCAGAGGAAUAAGCACCGGCUAACUCCGUGCCAGCAGCCGCGGUAAUACGGAGGGUGCAAGCGUUGUCCGGAUUUAUUGGGUUUAAAGGGUGCGUAGGCGGCUCUUUAAGUCAGUGGUGAAAGCCCCCAGCUCAACUGGAGAACUGCCAUUGAUACUGCCGGGCUUGAGUACAGACGAGGUUGGCGGAAUUGAUAGUGUAGCGGUGAAAUGCAUAGAUACUAUCAAGAACUCCGAUUGCGUAGGCAGCUAACUAGGCUGUAACUGACGCUGAGGCACGAAAGCGUGGGGAGCGAACAGGAUUAGAUACCCUGGUAGUCCACGCUGUAAACGAUGAUGACUCGAUGUUGGCGAUAAACUGUCAGCGUCUAAGCGAAAGCGUUAAGUCAUCCACCUGGGGAGUACGCCCGCAAGGGUGAAACUCAAAGGAAUUGAGGGGGGCCCGCACAAGCNGGUGGAGCAUGUGGUUUAAUUCNAUGAUACGCCGAGGAAC